rnacentral:ncRNA from 1 species
UAAAAGUAAAGCGCCUGUACAAGUCUCAAAGAGCUGUUUAACAUUUAAAGUUUAUAGCAGAAAUUUUAAUAGACAACUCUGAGGAGCUUGUAGACGAGGAGGAUAGUGAUCGAAUUAUCGGCGGAUGCUAUCCCGGAUGUGGCUCAUCCGAAAUCUUAUUAAGUAAAACAUUUAGGCAACUCAGUGCACAAAGUUAAUAAGU